CAAUAGCGUAUAUUAAAGUUGUUGCAGUUAAAAAGCUCGUAGUUGGAUUUCUGUCAAAAGCAAGUAGCCCGCUUUUUAAGUGUUGUGCUUACGUCGUUUUUGACAUUUUUCUGCUUUUCGGUUGAUGUUCUUAAUUGAGCAUUUAAUUUGUGAGCAGAACUUUUACUUUGAGAAAAUUAGAGUGUUCUAAGCAGGCUAUUGCCUUGAAUACUGCAGCAUGGAAUAAUAAUAUAGGAUUUCAAUUCUAUUUUAUUGGUUCUAAGGAUUGAAAUAAUGAUUAAUAGGGACAGUUGGGGGCAUUCGUAUUUAACUGUCAGAGGUGAAAUUCUUAGAUUUGUUAAAGACGAACUACUGCGAAAGCAUUUGCCAAGGAUGUUUUCAUUAA
rnacentral:rRNA from 1 species